rnacentral:rRNA from 1 species
CUUGAGUCUUGUAGAGGGGGGUAGAAUUCCAGGUGUAGCGGUGAAAUGCGUAGAGAUCUGGAGGAAUACCGGUGGCGAAGGCGGCCCCCUGGACAAAGACUGACGCUCAGGUGCGAAAGCGUGGGGAGCAAACAGGAUUAGAUACCCUGGUAGUCCACGCCGUAAACGAUGUCUACUUGGAGGUUGUGCCCUUGAGGCGUGGCUUCCGGAGCUAACGCGUUAAGUAGACCGCCUGGGGAGUACGGCCGCAAGGUUAAAACUCAAAUGAAUUGACGGGGGCCCGCACAAGCGGUGGAGCAUGUGGUUUAAUUCGAUGCAACGCGAAGAACC